UUUUUAAAAUUAACUUUACUGGGGUAUAACUUACAUAAAAUGCACCCAUUUUAACUGUACAUCAUGAUACACUUAGAUAAAAUGUAUGCACCUGCACUCUGCAUGAUUUUUAACUUAGAGGGAUGUGUGACCUGAGUUCAAUACUAAAUGGUCACUUACUAGCUAUGUGACCUUGGGUAAGUUACCUUAACUUCUCAAAGCCUCAGUUCUUCUCUCUGUAAAAUGAGGAUAAUGACAAUCUCAUAGAGUUGUGAAGAUUCACUCUGCUACCAUCUACUGCUGAAUAAUUUCUGAAGGACAAAGUUCCACUAGAAAUAAGUAGUUAUGAAGUCAGGCAAAAAUUCACAGACGCUAAAGCGUAGCUUCUGCAAUUGUUCCAGUACGAUGCUAAGCACUGGAAGCAGGUUGGUGGCGGGUUUUUUUUCCUUUACACUCCCUACAAGCGUGAAGGCAACGUUCUUCAGCGUCUGAGAACGUGGGCGAACUGUAUGUGCUGAAUGACGUGGCUUCGCUUUGGUCACAAGGGCUUCUGCCAGCCAAUGAACAACUUCCUGUGAAUACAGUCUGACGUCAGACAUGGAGAAACCCAUACGGCAGUGGCUUCAUGUCAUCCUUGAUUACGUCUGGAUAUAUACUCGGAGAUUUUUUUCUUUUUUUUCAUUUAUUUGUUUAUUUUUGGAUGUACAUCAUAAUAUAUUUCCGAUUCUGUGUAGAUUACAUCAUGUUCACCACCCGAAAACUAAUUACAGUCCAUCCCCUCACAGGUGAGCCUAAUCACCCCUUUUGCCCUCCCUCCUCCCCGCUUCCCCUGUGGUAACCAUCAAUCCAACCUCCAAUGUUAUGCGUUUGUUUGCCGUUGUUUCUGGAGAUUUUCACCCCCACAUCUUUCAGAUAGCCGAGGGGAACAGUGAAAACAGCCAUACGCAUUUUCCAGCUUCGUGCCUACAUUUCUCCAAAUAUUGCUCUCUGAACUUGGUCUGCAAGUAUCAGGUCAGGUGUCUACUGUAAUUAACAGGCAUCCUGCGGACUGUAAUUAAAAGGCAGUUUGAAAUUAGUGAUACUUUGAUUCUAGCCAUUUGUAUUUUAUAACUCACAGUGAAUUCGCCUCAAAAAUGUUUAGUCCUCUCAUGUCCUUGCUCCCUGGUUUUUCUUCGGUUAGGCACUUUGGAAUUCAGCUGCAUUCUUCUACUUUCAACAAGUUACCUUCCUACCACUUCCAUUUGGGUGGAGCCAGAAGGAAGAAACGCCCAAACAGAUCUUCAGGAUCCACCCUCCCCAAUAGGUUCUCACGGCAGAGAUGCGCCUGGCAGGAGCUUCAACCCCAAGGCCACCCGCCGCCGCGGGUUCCCAAACCCGGAUAGGGCCCUAAUGGGAAAGCAGCCUGGGUUCGCCUCGGCCCAGCCUCCGCCAAGUCUUCGGGAUCUGACGACCCACAACAGCGCGAGGGCGGAGGGACCGGAGGAAGCAGAGGAAGAGGAGGAAGAGGAAUUGCUUUUGUCGAGGCUCCGCCCGGCGCUAGCCAGGCCUCGUGGAGCCUCCGGGGCUCGGGGUCCCCAGGGGGCGUGGCCUCAGGGGCGGAAGCGGAGCGCGGGCGGGGGCUCAGGCAGCGCGCGGCGCGGGGGAGGGUCGGAGCCUCACCGGGCGGGGCGGGGCCGCAGGGCCUCCCCAGAGCGGGCGGCGGAGCUGCACUAGUCCGCGCGCGGUAGGGCGGAGACCCCGUACCCGAGGAGAAGGCAAAUUCUUAAGAAGGUCUCCAGUUCUGCCCAUCCUGCCCCACAGUUGGAAAACUGGACGCUGAGAAGUACACGCCAGAUUUGGCGGCCAGGCUAGUCUGAGAGCUAUAGGACAUGGAGCACCCCCAGGGGAAGCAAGACAGGAUUCUCUCUCCCUCCUAGAUGUGAAUGUGUGACAUAGCUCCGCUCUCAACUCCUCUUUGCAGAUGAUUUGUGUUGUCAGAUAAUUCAAUCUUUCUAGUUUUGUGACAGCUUCUUAACUGAAUUCCUCCACUUUUAGUUCAGCUUAAGCCUUGAUUGUGUCAUCUACCCCAAUGCUAGACGAAAGAGUUAAAGGACCAAAAGAGAGUAAGCCUUUUAAAGAAAGAAAAGAGCUAUAUAAUUGCCUAAGUAAAGCAUACUUCAGCUUUCAUAACUGCAAAAUACGUUCAGUUUAACCAACCAAAUUUUGUGCUGGACCCUGGGAUAACACAUAUGUACUAUAGAUACUCUAGUAGGGAAGAUAGAUGAAUAGAAAGACAACUAUAAGUCAGUGUUAUACCUUUAAUAAUAAGAGCACAUACUAGGUACAAAAGUGGCUAACUGAAGGAGUGACUAAUUCUAUGAGGUAUCUGGGGACAGGGGUAUAAGAAAAAGGUUUCAGCCAGGAAUGAUGCCCAUCAGAGGGGGUGUUUGAAGCAUUAGCAGGAAUGGUUAAAAAAAAAAAAAGCUCAUGAGGUAGAUAGUAAUAAAUGACUACGAAAUACUGAUUGACAACACAGAAGAAAGUAAACUGUAAAGAGGUGAAUUCUCUUAAUUUUAAAUUAUCAGCAAAGAGAUUAGUUGAAAAAUGGGGUGAAGGAAUAAAGAACUCCUUUUAGUCAAGUCUUAAAAGUUACAGAAGUAAAAUAACGCUUCCAUAAUUCCCACUCCAGUAAAGACCAGUGUUGUUACAUUGGUGUAUGUUCCUCCAGGGUGUGUAUUCAUGACUGACCUAGUUUUCUGUAGAAAUGGAAUCUUCAUACACUGGAGGUGGUGUAGGAAAGUGGUUGCAUGUGCUGGCUUAGGCAGUCUGGUCUGGAGUGCAGGGUCCACUCCUUCCCAGUUCUGUCAUCUUGGGAAGUCAUUUCUCUUCACCUCAGUUUCCUCCUCUGCAGAAUAGGGCUAUAACUGUGUCACUUGUCGGUUGAGAUUUUAAAUGUCAGCAGAGACGUUUUGUGCAUGGAAAGGAACCCAUAAAGUGGCUUUUGUUUUAAUUGAUAUUUAAUUUAUUAGGAGUGUAAAAUUUAAUUCUAGUUACUAAGCAGUGAAACCCAAA